rnacentral:rRNA from 1 species
GGAUCCAGACUUUGAUUCUGGCUCAGGAUGAACGCUAGCUACAGGCUUAACACAUGCAAGUCGAGGGGCAGCAUGGUCUUAGCUUGCUAAGGCCGAUGGCGACCGGCGCACGGGUGAGUAACACGUAUCCAACUUGCCGUCUACUCUUGGACAGCCUUCUGAAAGGAAGAUUAAUACAAGAUGGCAUCAUGAGUCCGCAUGUUCACAUGAUUAAAGGUAUUCCGGUAGACGAUGGGGAUGCGUUCCAUUAGAUAGUAGGCGGGGUAACGGCCCACCUAGUCUUCGAUGGAUAGGGGUUCUGAGAGGAAGGUCCCCCACAUUGGAACUGAGACACGGUCCAAACUCCUACGGGAGGCAGCAGUGAGGAAUAUUGGUCAAUGGGCGAGAGCCUGAACCAGCCAAGUAGCGUGAAGGAUGACUGCCCUAUGGGUUGUAAACUUCUUUUAUAAAGGAAUAAAGUCGGGUAUGCAUACCCGUUUGCAUGUACUUUAUGAAUAAGGAUCGGCUAACUCCGUGCCAGCAGCCGCGGUAAUACGGAGGAUCCGAGCGUUAUCCGGAUUUAUUGGGUUUAAAGGGAGCGUAGAUGGAUGUUUAAGUCAGUUGUGAAAGUUUGCGGCUCAACCGUAAAAUUGCAGUUGAUACUGGAUAUCUUGAGUGCAGUUGAGGCAGGCGGAAUUCGUGGUGUAGCGGUGAAAUGCUUAGAUAUCACGAAGAACUCCGAUUGCGAAGGCAGCCUGCUAAGCUGCAACUGACAUUGAGGCUCGAAAGUGUGGGUAUCAAACAGGAUUAGAUACCCUGGUAGUCCACACGGUAAACGAUGAAUACUCGCUGUUUGCGAUAUACAGCAAGCGGCCAAGCGAAAGCGUUAAGUAUUCCACCUGGGGAGUACGCCGGCAACGGUGCAACUCAAAUGAAUUGACGG